rnacentral:rRNA from 1 species
UAGGGAAUCUUCGGCAAUGGGGGCAACCCUGACCGAGCAACGCCGCGUGAGUGAAGAAGGUUUUCGGAUCGUAAAGCUCUGUUGUAAGAGAAGAACGUGUGUGAGAGUGGAAAGUUCACACAGUGACGGUAACUUACCAGAAAGGGACGGCUAACUACGUGCCAGCAGCCGCGGUAAUACGUAGGUCCCGAUCGUUGUCCGGAUUUAUUGGGCGUAAAGCGAGCGCAGGCGGUUUAAUAAGUCUGAAGUUAAAGGCAGGGGCUUAACCAUUGUUCGCUUUGGAAACUGUUAAACUUGAGUGCAGAAGGGGAGAGCGGAAUUCCAUGUGUAGCGGUGAAAUGCGUAGAUAUAUGGAGGAACACCGGUGGCGAAAGCGGCUCUCUGGUCUGUAACUGACGCUGAGGCUCGAAAGCGUGGGGAGCAAACAGG